rnacentral:tRNA from 1 species
GGUAAAGUGGCCGAGUGCUUAGGCGGUGGGCUGUAGUCCCACUCAUGGGGGUUUAAUUCCUCUUUUUAUCA